GGUCCCAAGGGUUGGGCUGUUCGCCCAUUAAAGUGGUACGCGAGCUGGGUUCAAAACGUCGUGAGACAGUUUGGUUCAUAUCCAUCGCGGGCGCAAGAAGUUUGAGAGGAGCUGCUCCUAGUACGAGAGGACCGGAGUGGACGGAUCAACGGUGUCCCAGUUGUCACGCCAGUGGCACGGCUGGAAAGCCGCAUCCGGGAAGGAUAAACGCUGAAAGCAUCUAAGCGCGAAGCCAACCUCAAGAUGAGACUUCUCAUCAGCAAUGAGUAAGACCCCUUACAGACGAUGAGGUAGAUAGGUUAUGAGUGGAAGAGCCGCAAGGCUUGGAGCGACAUAAAACUAAUAGGUCGAGGUCUUAACUUA
rnacentral:rRNA from 1 species